AGUGAACGCUGGCGGUAGGCCUAACACAUGCAAGUCGAACGGCAGCACAGUAAGAGCUUGCUCUUACGGGUGGCGAGUGACGGACGGGUGAGGAAUACAUCGGAAUCUACUUUUUCGUGGGGGAUAACGUAGGGAAACUUACGCUAAUACCGCAUACGACCUACGGGUGAAAGCAGGGGAUCUUCGGACCUUGCGCGAUUGAAUGAGCCGAUGUCGGAUUAGCUAGUUGGCGGGGUAAAGGUCCACCAAGGCGACGAUCCGUAGCUGGUCUGAGAGGAUGAUCAGCCACACUGGAACUGAGACACGGUCCAGACUCCUACGGGAGGCAGCAGUGGGGAAUAUUGGACAAUGGGCGCAAGCCUGAUCCAGCCAUACCGCGUGGGUGAAGAAGGCCUUCGGGUUGUAAAGCCCUUUUGUUGGGAAAGAAAAGCAGCAGGUUAAUACCCCGCUGUUCUGACGGUACCCAAAGAAUAAGCACCGGCUAACUUCGUG
rnacentral:rRNA from 1 species